GAUGAACGCUAGCGGCAGGCUUAACACAUGCAAGUCGAGGGGUAGAGGCUUUCGGGCCUUGAGACCGGCGCACGGGUGCGUAACGCGUAUGCAAUCUGCCUUGUACUGGGGGAUAGCCCAGAGAAACUUGGAUUAAUACCCCAUAGUAUUUUCGGUUGGCAUCAACUGAUUAUUAAAGUUUUUCGGUACAAGAUGAGCAUGCGUCCCAUUAGCUAGUUGGCAUGGUAACGGCAUACCAAGGCUACGAUGGGUAGGGGUCCUGAGAGGGAGAUCCCCCACACUGGUACUGAGACACGGACCAGACUCCUACGGGAGGCAGCAGUGAGGAAUAUUGGUCAAUGGUCGCAAGACUGAACCAGCCAUGCCGCGUGCAGGAUGAAGCAUCUAUGGUGUGUAAACUGCUUUUGUACGGGAAGAAACACUGCUACGUGUAGCAGCUUGACGGUACCGUAAGAAUAAGGAUCGGCUAACUCCGUGCCAGCCGCCGCGGUAACAC
rnacentral:rRNA from 1 species